UUGAACGCUGGCGGAAUGCUUUACACAUGCAAGUCGAGCGGCAGCGCGGGGGCAACCCUGGCGGCGAGCGGCGAACGGGUGAGUAAUACAUCGGAACGUGCCCGAUCGUGGGGGAUAACGCAGCGAAAGCUGUGCUAAUACCGCAUACGAUCUACGGAUGAAAGCGGGGGAUCGCAAGACCUCGCGCGGACGGAGCGGCCGAUGGCAGAAUAGGUAGUUGGUGGGAUAAAAGCUUACCAAGCCGACGAUCUGUAGCUGGUCUGAGAGGACGACCAGCCACACUGGAACUGAGACACGGUCCAGACUCCUACGGGAGGCAGCAGUGGGGAAUUUUGGACAAUGGGGGCAACCCUGAUCCAGCCAUUCCGCGUGAGUGAAGAAGGCCUUCGGGUUGUAAAGCUCUUUCGGCAGGAACGAAACGGUGCGGGCCAAUACCCCGCAUCAAUGACGGUACCUGAAGAAGAAGCACCGGCUAACUACGU
rnacentral:rRNA from 1 species